rnacentral:rRNA from 1 species
UACGACUACAUAUCAGGCAUAUCAAUAAGCGGAGGAAAAGAAACUAACAAGGAUUCCCUUAGUAACGGCGAGUGAAGCGGGAAGAGCUCAAAUUUGAAAUCUUCAAGGGUUUACCUUGACGAAUUGUAGUUUAAAGAAGUGUUUUCUGUUGAGUGUUUCGGUAAAAGUUCUUUGGAAUAGGACAUCAUAGAGGGUGAGAAUCCCGUAUUUGACCGUUAUUUUCAGCUGUGUGAUACACUUUCAAAGAGUCGGAUUGUUUGGGAAUGCAGUCCAAAAUGGGUGGUAAAUUUCAUCUAAAGCUAAAUAUUGGCGAGAGACCGAUAGCGAACAAGUACCGUGAGGGAAAGAUGAAAAGAACUUUGAAAAGAGAGUUAAACAGUACGUGAAAUUGUCAAAAGGGAAGCGUUUGACAGCCAGUGUUGUUUUCUCGAAAAUCAAUUAAAAAUGACCGGAUUUUGUGUUGUAUUGACUUUAACAGCUUUCUGCACUUUUUUCUUGUCUUUUUUAAUGCACUUUUCGUUUAACAAGUCAACAUCAAUUUCUUUUGUUGUAAAAGGGUCAUUGGAAGGUGGCUUUCACUUCGGUGAAAGUGUUUAUAGCCUUUGACUUCUGCAAUCGGAGAGAUUGAGGUCUGCAGCGUAGAUCCGUCGGGGUUAGAUACAUUUGUGCUAAGUUAUAGUUUUUCAUAGACAACAUGUUGACUAUGAUUAAUCAUGUAGCUUACUCGCUUAUGCUAUUUUACCUACGCUUAGGAUGUUGACGCGCGUGUGUGCGUG